UUUCGAUUAAGUCAUGCGGGUCAGAACGUAAGUUCGGCGAACGGCUCAGUAACACAUGGGUAACCUGCCCUAUGGUCUGGAAUAACCUCGGGAAACUGAGGGUAAGACCGGAUAUAGUAAUUCUACUGGAAUGUGUUUUACUUGAAAGGUAACGCCAUAGGAUGGGCCUGUGUUAGAUUAGGUUGUUGGUGAGGUAAUGGCUCACCAAGCCUGUGAUCUAUAAGGGCAAUGAAAGUUGGAGCCCUGAGAAGAGGACUGAGACAAGGCCUCUAGCCCUACGGGGCGCAGCAGACGCGAAACCUCUACAAUGAACGAAAGUUUGAUAGGGGAACUCCGAGUGCUCUUAGGAAACUAAGGGCUUUUAUUAAGUGUAUAUAGCUUGAUGAAUAAGGACUGGGUAAGACCCGUGCCAGCCGCCGCGGUAAUACGGGCAGUUCUAGUGGUAUCCACGUAUAUUGGGCUUAAAGCGUCCGUAGCUGGUCCAGAAAGUUUCUAGUGAAAGCUCGCAGCUUAACUGAUGAGAGGUGCUAGAAAAACUUUUGGACUUGGAGGCGGGAGAGGUAAGAGGUACUUUUGGGGUAGCGGUUAAAUGUGUUAAUCCUGAAGGGACCACCGGUAGCGAAGGCGUCUUACUAGAACGCACUCGACAGUGAGGGACGAAGGCUAGGGGAGCAACCCGGAUUAGAUACCUGGUUAGUCCUAGCAGUAAAUGAUGCAGACUAGGUGUCCUGUAACCUACGUGGUUAUGGGGUGCCGAAGGGAAACCGUUAAGUCUGCCGCCUGGGGAGUACGGUCGCAAGACUGAAACUUAAAGGAAUUGGCGGGAGAGCACCACAAGGGGUGGAGGCUGCGGUUUAAUUGGAUUCAACGCCGG
rnacentral:rRNA from 1 species